rfam:Danio rerio chromosome 4, GRCz11 reference primary assembly.
ACAUUGGUGGUUCACUGGUAGAAUUGUCGCCUGCCAUGCGGGAGACCCGAGUCCGAUUCCCGGCCAAUACA